rnacentral:rRNA from 1 species
GUCGAGAAUCUUUCACAAUGGGGGCAACCCUGAUGGAGCGACGCCGCGUGGAGGAUAAGGUCUUCGGAUUGUAAACUCCUGUCAUGCGUGAACAAGGUUGCUUGGAUAAUACCUGAGCAAAUUGAUGGUAGCGCAAGAGGAAGAGACGGCUAACUCUGUGCCAGCAGCCGCGGUAAUACAGAGGUCUCAAGCGUUGUUCGGAAUCACUGGGCGUAAAGGGUGCGUAGGUGGCGUGGCAAGUCAGAUGUGAAAGCCCGGGGCUCAACCUCGGAACUGCAUCCGAUACUGCCAUGCUAGAGUACUGGAGGGGUGACUAGAAUUCUCGGUGUAGCAGUGAAAUGCGUAGAUAUCGAGAGGAAUACCAAAGGCGUAGGCAGGUCACUGGACAGUUACUGACACUGAGGCACGAAGGCCAGGGGAGCGAACGGGAUUAGAUACCCGGUAGUCC